rnacentral:misc_RNA from 1 species
AAAAAAAGUACAUGCCCUUGCGCGAGGUGGGCUUAUCUUGAUCGUCCUUCACGAACGACACAAAAACGGCAAGAGAAUCGGCACAGAAGCAUCUGCCGUCACUGUGAGCACAAACGAAGAGGGGCUACGAACCAAGAAGGGCAAGAGGUGUGAGGGCGGCAUAGGCGGCGAGCGAAUCAAUCACGGCGGAAAAGGGCACCCUCCGCAGCAAAGGCUUUUCCAGUGGCAACGUGCAACCACCUUGUCGUUACGCCGCUGGCCACUGCCUUUUGGUUCUCAGCGUGCCCUCUUCUCGUCUUUACCGCCUUUGUUUGUUCUAGGUUGGCUCGUCGCGACAGUGCCGCGCCGUAAUAGGGGAGCGCCUUUCAUUGGCUUUGAGUGCGCAUGGGGCUACGACUCCAUGAGAAAGGCACACGAAGCAGUUCUCCCCCGCCCCCUCACCACCACCUUGCCUUCGGUUUUUGUUUUCGGCGGUGGCCCGUGCUGCUGCGUUCCAAAAUCCUCCAUCCGAGGGGCUUUGUGGUGCGAAACCCCACCCCUGUCGGAUGCGCUUGUGGUUCUUUUUCCUUUCUCUUUUUCGUUUGUUGUUUUGCAGCGGUCGCUAAUUUUCUAGAAGCGAAGCCAUGGGGACCGUUAUCGACGAGGGCUCCCAAUUCCACGAGGUGAACGAGUCCUUCGUGAGAUAUCGCAAGAAGGAGACUGCCUUCACCUCCAAGUCAGAAAUCUUCUACAACAAGGGCAACGAGCACAGCUGCAUCAACUGCUUCCUCGUAAUGCGGCUGGAGCGGCACGCGAGCGGGGAGGAGGUGGUAAAGAUUUCCUGGUCCUACCCGUACACGCCGGCGACGUCGCUACUGAGAUACCCGAAUUUAGGCAAGUUCGCAAUGGCAAACUCCGGCACCUCGUACACGGUGGACCAGCUUAGCUACACGUUUGUACUGACAGAUAGCAAAGGCGUUCGCGAGUAUGGACACACGACGGCCUUUGUGAACGGUGAGGCGGUUGUGACCAUCUCUCCAUACCCGUGGUGCAACUUCUUUUACCGACUCGCCUACCUGUUCGUCACAAAUGGGCACGAGGGAGGACAGAAACUCGUGAAGGCUCUGUGCAAGUGCCCCACGCCGCCGUCGGGAGGCAUGUUCAACACUCCGCUCGACCUUGGUUUGACUUUUAAUCGCCCCUAUGAUCGCCUCUGCUCCUUCAUCGACACGGCACCGCUCGACAUGCUCUUCAUUUUUCCUAACAUGGACGAUCUCUUCUCCGUUUUGGCGGACCUGAUGUUGGAGAAGCACAUCAUCAUCGUGGGCCCAAACUUCUCCAUUGUGUCGAAUGUCGUCAUGUCGCUGCAGGCGCUGGUUGCACCGUUCGACUGGAUGCACAUUCUUAUUCCAAUUCUUCCAACCUCGCUGCUCGACGUGCUGGCCGCGCCCCCGCCGUACUUGGUCGGCAUCCUCACGUCCCAGCUACCGCAAGUGGCGCGUGUACCACUCGACUCGGUCGUGGCCGUCCACCUCGGCCCCGGCGGCGUCUGCGAGCGCGUCGAUUACCAGAACGAGACCCGAGAUCAUCUGCCGCACUCCGGCAAGCUCAGCGCGCUGCGGACAGGGCUGUCUAUACUGCGGAUGCGGCACCCAAAGGACCAGACGGUGCGCGACCUAUGUAGCUUGUUUCUCACUUACUACGCCUCUCUCUUUGGCGAGAUCGUGCUGAAGGGGAAGCGCGGGUACGAGCGCGACAAGAGGGUACUGGGGAGCACGAGCGUUUUCUUUGAGAAGCUGCUUUGCACGCAGAGCUUCACAAUCUUGAGCGAGGAAGUCAAGAGAGCGCUCGAAUCCCCCAACUCUAAUGACUGGAUGGACAACGAGUUCAUCGUCGCCGCGGUGCGCGGACAGCGGGACAUGUUCCCGAUGCACUACGAGGCCCUUGUUCGGGAGGAGAAAAACGGUGGCGGGUUUAUUGAGAAGUACGAGGACUGUUUCGGUAGUAAGGAGAGCUUCAAUGGCUUUACAGCUGCCGUGCACGGCUUUGGUGGCCAUCCGCUGGGCGUUGGACGCCUCUUCAUUAGGUGCUUGUGCUCCCGCUGGUGCGGCUCCGACUUGUCGGAAGAGAACGACGACAGUUACUACCCGGGUCGCCGCAUGGGGCAGGCGAUUCUGCAGCACCGCUACUAUUCCUCCUCAGGCGAGGCCCCUGUAAUCACCAACGAAAUGAUGAUUGAGGUGCCGUCGACGCAUGCGUCGGCGCCGGAGGGCGCGCGCGAGUUCGAGGUGUCCGUUCAUGCGAUGACGUCAUCGCCCACCUAGACAUGGCCUGUCGAGUGCUUCCCUUGUUGAGGGUAACGGUGAUCACAUCCCUGCGAGACAGGUGUCCUUGCGGGUGGGAAGCAUUGCCUGCCCGCCGACACAAAGGGACUAAGCGCCGUUUUCACGUUACAUGCGUGUGCGCGCUCGACGGAGUGGCGAUAUUGUUUCGUUUUUCUUUUGUUUUUAGUUGCCCCCUUCUGUGUGUGUGGUGGUAAGACAGAGACAGACGUUUUGCGUUCUUCGUCUGCGCCCACCCUGUCGCUGUUUUUUUUUUUCAGUGAUGUCCUCUGAGAGUGUCGAUGUCUGUGAUGCGUUCAUAGGCGCACGUUCGAGUACGCUCACAAGUGAGCUGUGCACAUAAUGUAAAUGUUCUUCGCGUGCCUUCCGUUCUGCCAUGGCUGUUUGUUAGCUUGUUUGGCUCCCCUUUUUUCGGUAUGUAGGUGUGGUGCGAUGUUGUGUACAAUAUGUCUCUCCCUCUCUCUGUGUCCUCCGCGUUCCCUCUCCGUUUCUGGAGUGCUGUGUCAUGUGGGCCCACGUGGAUGGCAGCUCCACCCUCCCCCGGGCUGGAAAAAAAAGGUUACUUUCAUUUUUGCAGCGUCUCUAAUCUUGCGAGGUGUAUUAUUCCGUCGUCGUAGCGGCUGCUGGGUGUCGUUGUUGGUAUGCCUUACCUGUUCCGUCAAGCAUCUUUUUCUCUUGCCUCUCUCUCUCGCUAGCACACGCUCCCCCCCCCCUCCUUCCCUCGCCUUUUUCCUCUUUUUGUUGUUCUGCGUCUUACCCCGUUUUCACCUUCACAGUCUUGCUUUGACUCCUCACCAUCUUGAGUAUCUCCGUCCUAUGAAAGAACAUAGAGACAACAAAACGAAAGGGCAAAUCCCCCCCCCCCCAACAAAAGAAUUGAGGGCCGGUUCACCUCUUGUUUCUAUGCGUGGGGUUCUGCAACCCCUCAUCUUCUCUAGAGCCGACUGCUUGCUCGUCCACGCGCCGUAGGUGUUGCAGGUUGGGAUGAGCUACCCAGUCGUUAAAAUCGCGUUUGAAUCUCACGCAGCGGUUCUCGCUGACCGACCAAAGUGGCG